rnacentral:tRNA from 1 species
GCCUGGGUGGCGAAACUGGUAGACGCAAGGGACUUAAAAUCCCUCGAGUGAAUAACUCGUGCCGGUUCGAUUCCGGCCCCGGGUACCA